rnacentral:lncRNA from 1 species
UUUUUUUUUUUUUUUUUUUGCACUACUGUAUUCAUCCCCUACUCUUUUACCUUUUUUUUUUUUUUUUUAAUAUGGGUUAAACGCAUCCUUGUCCUCUAAUCAUUUCCACAAUAUAGGGCCAGGUGGUGUGCCAGCAGGUUUCAUGGAAAUGUAAGCACUAUAAAGUUCUAAUCCAGCCAUAGGAGUAUUAAGAAAUGGCCAUCAUUAAAUUAGGGACGAAUCUUUGAAACUUGUUUAAUCGUUUGCAAUUCUUGUGCAUUACUUCAGCUCUAGUUUAUAUGGUAAAACACAUUCUCCAUGUCGGUGAGGGAUUAACUUUCAUUUUGAUUAAAUUAGGCAAAUCAUAUAUUUUUUUCCAUUCCAUAAUAAUUCUCUAACACUUCACCUUCCUUCGCAUCAUAAAAUGCAAGGCAAAGUAUUAAAAGCAAUUCUUGAAGUACAAAUGUCUCUUGUUUUAAAUUAAGAGCGAAAUAAGUCAUUUUAUAAUUUGGGAUCAAUUAGUCUAUAGUAAAUGUAUCACAUGAGAAAAAGGGCAUUUAGGGCUUGUUCUCAACUGAUAUUGAUUUUAUAAAAGUUGAUUUUAUAAAUUUGAUUUUUGAAAAUCAAAUUCUUUAGAAUACUCAUCUGUUCUCAUUUACUAUUAGAAAAGCCAUUAUAAUAAAUGCGUAGGUAUUCUAAAAAAAAAAAGUUAAAAAGCUGAUUUUGAUAGAAAGAUGACCUUGUUACCCUUAUGUGUUGCAAAAAUACAUUUCUGUGCUAAUUAAAUAAAUUUUUAAUUUAAUUAAUUAAUUUUCUUAUGAAGAUUAAAUGGCGGAUGCGAAAAUUAAAGUUUACGUAGAUGAAUCUGAAAGUGAGAUAAGAAUUGGAAGAAAAUAGAAAGACUAUAAAAAGUUACCUAAUUAAUCGUUAGGUAGUUUAGUAAUUAUGUUAAAAUUUGAAGGGUAAUUUAGUCUAAAUGAAAAAGAAGGCCAAAAUCAAAAUACAAACGCAACUCAAAACCUGCUUCUGAUUUUCAACUUUUUUUGGACCCGAAAAAUCUAAAAUCAAUUUUUUAAAAUCAAUUGAGAACACAAUAAAAUAAUUUUUUGAAAAUCAAAAGCUAAAAUCAGGUUUCCAAAAUCAGUUGAGAACAAAACCUUAGCAAAAACUACAACUUUGUGACAUGGAAAUUAUGAUAAGAACAGAAGUAAAUUCUUAAUUAGAUACUACAAGUCCUUAUUUCAGUAAAUUAGCCAAUUGGAACUCCAAAUUCCUAGCACCUUCCAAAAAGGAGAGAAUUAAACACAUUAAACAACAGCUUUAAUUACGAUGACCUUUUUAUAUAAUAAUCUUGGUUCAAGGAAAAAAAAAAAUCAUCCAACGACCAAGGAUACGAUAAAGAAUUACAUAGGUACAUCAAAGUCAAAUUGACGUCUACAAGCAAGCGUAUUUAUGAUUUGAUUUUUAAAAGGCAAAGAAAAGAAAAAUCAAAAGGUGGGAGAUACAAAUGCAAAUAUAACAAGAGUUUGAAAACCGUAGAACUUAACUUUCUUUUACUUUUAUUUUUUUACUGUUGGUCUUAACUUUCUUCAGCUGCCUUUGUCUCAUAGAACACACAUCACAGACUGUCCAAAUACAUUUAUAUGUCGUCAUUUGAUGUAUUCAGCUGUGACAUCAGACACUGCUAAAACAGUGAAACAAUUUUGGUGAAGUAUAGAAGAUUGCCAUUUUCAGUGUCGUAGCCAAAUCAUGAUCAGAUCAAGAACAUGGUGUUCAAUUUUCCCUUUUUUUUUUGGGAUAAUUGCAGAAACCUCCCCUGAAAUUUCUGACAUUUGCACUGACCUCCCCUCUAGGUUUUGAAAUUGUAUUCACCUCCCCUGAACAGUAACAAUUCGUUGCAGAAACCUCCCUGACAGCUUUUGUAGAAGUGAGAUAAGAAAUUUCUUCCAAUUUUGCCCUCUUCUUGCUUGACAAUUAUUAUUUGCUUGACAAUUGCUUAACUAAUUAUCUAAUUAGUUAAUAGUUAAACUAAUUAACUAUUAACUAAUUAUCUGAUUAAUUAUUAACUAAUUAACUAAUUAUCUAAUUAAUUAAUUAACUAAUUAUCUAAUUUAUAUUUAUCUAAUUAACUGCUUAACUAAUUAACUAAUUAACUGAAGCUGUUGUCUGUCCAAAACUAACAAACUAUUUGCAUGUUAAACUAAUUAACUAAUUAACUGCUUAACUAAUCAACUAAUUAACUAACUAACUAAUUAACAGACUAUUUGCAUGUUAAACUAUAUGCAGUACGCAUUACCUAUUUAAAGUAUCGGCUCUUUAUGAGUAUUUUACUUUCAAACAUUUAAUUUAUGAUAAAAACAUCAAUGUUUGUAAGUAAAAUUUAAAAAGUGUUACAGUAAUAUUCUUACAAAAAGGGAGGGGCAUAUGGCCAUAAAUUAAAUGUUUGAAAGUAAGAAUCUUGAUAUUUUUUGUAACACUUUUUGAAUUUUACUUACAAACAUUGAUAUUUUUAUCAUAAAUUAAAUGUUUGAAAGUAAAAUACCUAUAAAGAGCCAAUACUUUAAAUAGGUAAUGCGUACUGCAUAUAGUUUAACAUGCAAAUAGUUUGUUAAUUAGUUAGCUAAUUAAUUAAUUAGUUAAUUAGUUAAGCAGUUAAUUAGUUAAUUAGUUUAACAUGCAAAUAGUUUGUUAGUUUUGGACAGACAAUAGCUUCAGUUAAUUAGUUAAUUAAUUAAUUAGAUAAUUAGUUAGUUAAUUAGUUAAUUAGUUUAAUAUGCAAAUAGUUUGUUAGUUUCGGAUAGACAAUAGCUUUAGUUAAUUAGUUAAUUAGAUAAACAGAAAUUAGUUAAUUAGUUAAUUAAUUAGAUAAUUAGUUAGUUAAUUAGUUAAUUAGUUUAACAUGCAAAUAGUUUGUUAGUUUCGGACAGACAACGGCUUUAGUUAGUUAGUUAAUUAGUUAAGCAGUUAAUUAGUUAAUUAGUUUAACAUGCAAAUAGUUUGUUAGUUUCGGAUAGACAACAACUUUAGUUAAUUAGUUAAUUAGAUAAUUAGAUAAUUAGUUAAUUAUAUAAACAAAAAUUAGUUAAUUGAUUAAUUGGAUAAUUAGUUAGUUAAUUAGUUAAGCAGUUAAUUAGUUAAUUAUUUUAACAUGCAAAUAGUUUGUUAGUUUCGGAUAGACAACAACUUUAGUUAAUUAGAUAAACAAAAAUUAGUUAAUUAAUUAAUUAGAUAAUUAGGUAGUUAAUUAGUUAAGCAGCUAAUUAGUUAAUUAGUUUAACAUGCAAAUAGUUUAUUAGUUUCGGAUAGACAACGGCUUUAGAUAAUUAGUUAAUUAGUUAAUUAGAUAAAUAGAUAUUAAUUAAUUAGAUAAACAGAAAUUAGUUAAUUAGUUAAUAGUUAAUUAGUUUAAUUAUGCAGAAAUAGUUUGAUUAGUUAAUAACUAUUAACAAUUAGAUAAUUAGUUAAUUAGUUAAUAGUUAAUUAGAUAAUUAGUUAUUAAUUAAUUAGAUUAUUAGUUAUUUAGUUAAUUAGUUAAACUAUGCAGAAAUAGUUAAUUUAGUGUAAUUUUUAUUAACAAAUGUUUUGUUGGGUUUGGUGAAAGUACUCAUCACAUUCAUUUGGUAAAAUUAAAUCAUGUCAGGGGUACUUUAGUAAAUUGACCCACUUUUGCCUAUUAAAUUGCCUCCAACUUUUGAUAGGGGAGGUCAGUGCUAUUUCGAAAUUAAUAGGGGAGGUCAAUGCUAUUACUAUAAAAGUUAGGGGAGGUUUCUGCAAUUAUCCCUUUUUUUUUUGUUUUUUUGGCCCACUUCUUCUUAUUUAUUCCUUUUCUGUACCUAAUUUAGAGAUAAUAUGGAAGAAGAACAUUAUAGGGGGAUUAUAGGAAAACUACAAUCCUUUCUGAUGAGUUGCAUCUUCUCUUAGAUUAGAUGAAAAUCAUAAAUUCAUCACCGACAAAGUCCAAAAUAGCCACCUGGAAAAUUUGGCCGCCUUAAUCAUUAGCAAGCAAUGAAAUUUUUACAUUUGAGAUUACAGAUUGCGUCACAUCAUCUAAUCCAACAUUUGGGCAUGGUCAUUUACGUCUAACUGAAUGAGGUACAAGCAAUAGAGACAAAACUAUCAUCCCUAAGACCCCGCUUGGAGUUGCAGUGCGUUUACAAAAAAAAAAAAAAAAAAAAAAAAAGCAUUUAAGCAUUAAAAGUACUUGUAAGUUGUUUGACAACUAAUUUUUCGUUAUUUAAAUAGCCCAAUUUUUGGUAGUUUAAAAGCAUUUGUAUCAUAAGUGUUUUUUUAAAAGCUAUCGCAGUUUUAGAUGGGACGUAAAUCUCUUUAAAUUCUUUUUUUUUUUGUUAGUGACCAUAUAAAUUGUAGGCUUCAUAUCACCGUUUUUUUCUAUAAAAAUGUAAAAUUUUAUUAGAAAAUAGGCUACAAUUCAAGUUGGAUGGCUAGUUGAAAAUUUUUAUAGUAACCUAUCUCUUCUUUUGAUAUUUUAUUUUGCCUGAAUGUGAUUGAUGGCAUAGAAUAGAACACCCGUUCUCUUUCCACACGGACUACUGACAAAAACAGUAAACCGUAGCUAUCUGUUGAGGACAAUAUUUUUGAGAUUUAUAUUGCCUAAUAUAAAGUUUGGACAAACGGGCAUUUGGUCUAGUGGCAUGAUUCUCGCUUAGGGUGCGAGAGGUCCCGAGUUCAAUUCUCGGAAUGCCCCAACAUUUGUGCUAAUUUUUUUUUUGACAGGAAACUGCUCGAGUCAUUAAGCCACAUUACAGACCAGGUAAAGCAAAUGUCAUCAAAAUCUGAACAGUACUAGUAUUUAAGUGAACCAAAGGUGGAAUUCUCUCUUUAUAUUAUACAUCCCAACAACAUAGUACAUUUACACUUGAUCUAGAGAAAAAUAACUACAACUCCCCUAGUAAUUUUAUUGGCAUGGGAAGGGGCCAGUUGAAUGGAACAGUUUGUAAUUGGAUGAUGAACUUGUUAGAGGCCUAAGGUCCACAGCAUUUCAUGCCAUAUCUUCUUCCCACAAUCUUUAUUGUCAUUCUUCCCCAUGCUAGCUCCAAAUCUUCAAAAGGUCUUAGACAUAAUUCAUGCCCAAGAGUAGCAAAAUUUUCUCCACAAAUGGGGAAGCAUCCUCACUACGAGUAGAACGUAUACUACUACGCGAAAUCAAUGAUACAUCAAAACGUGCCAGACCCAAAAUUACGAUUGUUGCUCAAAGGACCAAAAGGACUUCCUGCAUCAUUACUUUUGGCCGCCGCAAGUGUUUUUUGUUCCCUCUUCAAUGCCUUCAUGGAUUCCUUCCGCCUUGGAAGCAGGGCCUUGUUGCCCCCUAAAAACACCCCACAGAUAAUACUUCCCCUGAAAUCCUGUAAAAGGCAUUUGUUAAGACACUCAAUUCUAAGCAAGUCUAAAACGCUAAAGUGUCUCAUCAAUUAAAGGAGAUGCAACUCACUCCAGUAACUAAGUGGCAGUUCAUUAGAGGCAAAAAUCAAGAGCUCUGCAUUUUUGACAAUUGCUUUCAUAGCAAGUUCUUGGUCCAUCAUCUCCUCAACCAAACAAUCAAAAAGCCCUUCAGACCUGCAGGUAAGAGCCUCAGAGUUCAAAAUGAGCCAAAUUUUGGACAAAUAAAGUGGGUUAGGGCAGGGCCAAGUACUGAAAGCAAUACCUUUUAUCCAAUGGAAAGAAAUAUAGUGCAAUAUUGUCAUCAGAUGGCUGUGAUUUUUGAAAACUCUUUGGCCAGCAAUCCAUUUUGGCAAGCAUUUCCAGUUCAAGCGCUGAUGGCAACAAGAUUGCCUCCUCAUAUACUUUCUCACAUGCUUUGCUAGAUAAAUGAGCUACUAAUCCAUCAUCAAAUUCUUGAUAAUCCUUGUUCAGUAUGACAAAAUUUCCUCUGUAAGUAAAUUAGGAAAGAAAGUCAACAUGGUCACUAAGCAUGUAUUUAUUUAAUUUUUUUAAGCAAACAUGUAUAACUUAGUUCACCAAUAACAUAUAAACCAAAUAAUCAUCAACCUCCAGAUUGGCUCAAUACGUGGCACUGCCUGUUCACGAUUGUCAACGGUUAAAUUAUUUUCUAAAUGACCUGAUGCUAAUUGAGAACCCUCCAAGCAUUCCUCAGCACCUUUUUGUGGCAAAUUAGCUGAUGAAACUUUAACCUCCAUUCUCUCCUUUUUGAGCAUCUCGAGCAAAGACAGCUCAUGAUCAUCCACCUUGGCUGCUGGGCAAGAAGUCUCGUUCAUCUCUAAUUCUGUAGACAAUGGAGUAUUGGUUGCACUAGCAGCAUGCUGAUCUUGCUCAGUGUGCCCAUGCUGUGGUCCUCUUCUUUUUCUUUCUUCGCUGGUGAUGACCAUCUUUUGUCCUUCAAGACCUUUUAAAGUUGUAUUAUUCCUUCCCUCACGAGCACUGUUGCUUUUCUCUGCUAGCUCCAGCUCUGUGCUUUCUUCAACCAGAUGAAAUCUAUGGUCCACCUCGGCUACUGAGCAAAAGCCCACAUUCUCCUUGCAUUCUGCUGACAACGGAGAAUUGGAAGUCAAUUCAUCAUGUAGUGAAGAUAACUCAUGUUCUAUGUUGCUUCUCUCUGUCAACUCCAGCUUUCUAUCUGUAUCACCAGUUUGAAGUCUAUGAUCUUCCACCUCAGCUACUGAGCAACAAGCCUCUUUCUCCUUUAAAUCUGUUGACAAUGAACUGGUAGCCAAAACAGUAUCUUGAACUUGCUCAGAGGGGCUAACCCUAAGCUGCAGUAUUUUUCUUUUUCUGCCUUUGCUGGCAACAACCAUCUCUUCUCCUUCAAUAUCUUUUGAGCUUGUAUCCAAGCCAUUGCUUUUCUCUGUUAGCUCUAGGUCUGUGCUUGCAUCAACCAGUUGAAAUCUAUGAUCUUUCACCUUGGUUGCUGAGCAAGAGCCCUCUUUCUUCUCCAACCCUGUUAAUAGUGGAGAGCUCAUAGCCAGUUCAACAUCUUCAAGUAGACUAGAGGGGCUACUUUCAAGUCUUUCAUCGUUUUCCUGUCCUAACAGUGCUACACUCUUUUUCUUCGGCCUCAGUCUUGGUCUUCUUCUUUCUCCAUCAACGACUGUCAACUGUCCAUCAACAUCUUUAAAGCUAGUAUGGACCCUUUCCUCAUCUUGAACAGGGUUAAAUUUCGUGGAAGGUAAUUCCUUUGACAAGUCAACCUCACAUAUAUCACAAACCCAAUGGACGAAUUCAUCGAGUUUUUCUGGCAACUUAUCUAGGCAAUAUCUGCAGAGGAAGCAAAUGGUAAAGCAAACGAAAAACAUUUAACUCUCAGACUGAUCCACCUCCAACACAAAAACCAAAAAUCAUGAAAAUCAAGCGUAUAGUUGUACAUUUUUAUAUUAAGAAGAAACGUGCCUGUUAUCUUUAAUGAAAUUAAAUACUCAGGCCAAAAAGCACGAUAAGUAAUGUGCAGUAGUAGUGAAGCAAUUAUGUUUUGAAUUUUAAAGUAUGACAAUUCUGCUGCACUAUACUUGUUUGAUCAACUUGUGUGUUGCAGGGUGUUUGAAUGCAUAGAUGCACACAGCAGGUAAUGUCUCUGUGUUUGUUUUGGCGUACAAAAUUUUUUUUUUGGGGUGUUGGGGGGGGGGGGGUUAUUUAUAGCCAAAUAGGUGCAGAAAUCAUGGAAGACUAGAGGUACCAAUUCAACAUACCUGUGAAUAAAAUAUUUCUGACACUUCACACAUUCAUUCAAUGCACUAGAAAAUCCUUUGCCACCACAUUGCAGGCAAACUCUCACCUGCAACACCAAGCAAACAGAUUGUAGUAUCAUAUAGACAGCCAAAUAACAUGAGCUUAAGGCCAUUGGGCCUGCAAACACCAUCAAAUUUGAUAAAAUAGCAAUUAUCCAAGAAUAUCUGUUGGAUAUCCAUUAUGCCAGCAAUUAUCCAAGAAUAUCUGUUGGAUAUCCAUUAUGCCACUAAGAAGAAAAUAUUUGGCAGGGGAUAACGCUUACCCUUUGACGGAGGUCAGACAAGGGCACAAUUAGAGUAAACUCAGACAUACAAAAAGGUACAUAAUUCUUCCCCAAAACCAGACACCUUGAGCAAACAAAUGAAACUCGUUUUUGCAGAAGAAAGAUAAUUGUGAGAACUCUAUAGAUUAUUGCAACGCAAGAGUAUGAGCAAGCAUUCUAAACCAAAAGCUGUUCAAAGCAUCUAAGGUGGCAUGUUCAUUCAGCAAAUGAUAUACUACAAAAGAAUGUUUGAGUGCCAUUCAGAACAUGAAUAUUAACUUAGAACUUUGAUAACAACUUGGUUUGAGUUCUCAUAUUUACCCACCAUAUGUGUCAACUACUAAGAAAUCAAAUUACUGAAAGAAGUAGAAAAAGGAAGUUUCAUCAACUUCUAUUGUUUCACAGUCAGGUCAGAAAAGACCAGCACAUAUAUGAAUGCCAAAAUAUUACAGCAUGCCACGGAAAAAGUUGUCAUAUGUCAUGAGUUCCUCAGCAAUGGAUGAUACCAGUAUUAAUUCUGAUCUUAGGUAGGUUAUCAACAAGAAGAAUGUUGCACUGUGCAGUAAACUUGUCAAAUCCUCAGAAUAUUGUUACUUCCCCAAAAAAUCUGCCAAAUAUGGCUGUGUGGAACUCGCGUACUAAAGUAUGCCCGUCGCGCCAUGUAGGCAUGACGGGAGGUCAAUAUUUUAAAAAAAAAAAAGACAAAGGGCCAUCGGCCCUACAUUGCGUGACAGCUGACACCUUUGAAAAAAAAUAUGGCCUGUCACACCAUGUUGGACCGAUGGCCCUGUCUUUUUAAAAAAAAAAAAAAAAAAAAUCUUGACCUCCUGUCGCGCCAUGCAUACUUUAAUACACGAGUUCCACACAACCAUCUUGGGCAGAUUUUUUUUUGGAAGGACAAAUAUUCUGAGGAUUUGCCCAGUAAACUUGGUAAACAGAAUUAAGUAAAAAAGAAAAAAAGAACAAUAAUGCCAUUAAAUAUGUCCGCUGAUGAAUCUACAACAUGUACAAGAAGUACUUUCACUUUGUAUGGAACAAACCAUUCCAUCUUCAGAAUUUGAAAAACACAGAGUAGACUAAACAUCAAAAGAAGAAGCCCUAGGAUCUGAUACAUCUCUAUAGUACAGUCAGGUCAGUCUUACCGAAUCACAACAUGAACUCCAAUAAACCAACCUAUCAGAUGAUCAGAAACAUGUUCUUUGAUUACCUUUUUAUCUUCUCAGCAUUACACCUUGUGAAAAGGGAAUGCCUUUUAUACUUUAGAAAGAAAGGACUCCUACAGCAUCAUAUCCAUUUUAUCAACAAACUAAAAUUAUUCAUCCGUCUUUAUCCUGACGGUGCACGGAUAAUUUUGACCCUCUUCAGCAACUCUCCUCAAAACCAAAAACAACUCCACCACGACACAUAUGCCAACUGCACUAUGUUCUCUAUAUUCAUUUUCCCUACUAAUCAUAUUGCCAUAGACACUUAUAAAUUUGCUGAUUAAAUAACCAAACAGAUAAAGAAAAGGGACUGCAUAGUUACAAAAUUUCCCAGAUAAUUGGACCCCCAAUUCCAAAACUUUCCCGGGCCCCAAAUGGAAGGAUGAAACUUUAGAAGUAAUUCCUUCCUACAAAAGGAUGAAUCCCGGAACCAAAUUAUCAAAUCAGCAUUCAAUGAACAGAAACUCAAAGAUUACUCCUUUAGAAAAAAAAAAAAAGGAUUAUUAUCUGCAUGCAACAAGAUAUACUACAUUUCAUGUUUGGACUAUGUCCAAUUCCAAGCAUCAAGUACAACAGAAAUUCGCUAAAAAAAAUAUAUACACAUUCAACAAAAUAUGGAAGAAAAAACUACCAUGGUGGGAUAAUUUGAAGAGCCCGGGAAGAAACCAAUCAAAGCUGACUAAUUUCAGGAAAAUCCCAUCAUAGACCUCAUUUCCACAGCCAAACUAGAAGAGCCCUAAUAGUGAAAUUCUGUUCUUUAAAAGAGUAAAACCUCAAGGCCCUCUUUGGAUUGGCAAAGAAUACUAGUGAAAAUUUUGUCAGGGCUUUUUCCUGCGACUGAUUAGUGACAAUUCAAUAAUGGGGAUUUUGAGGAGCUCUAUUUUCUUUUUUUCCCCCACUUUCUUUUUCGAAUUUUUCAGCAACCCUGUAUAAAUAGCGCCAACAGAAAAGAAGAACAGAGGAGUGUAAAGUCCGGAGAGUACAGGCACCGAGCGGCGAGAAAAUGGAACUUGGGUUGGCGUUGGUGCUUCACGCGCUGGCUGCCCGGGUAAAUUUUUGAGGUUUUCGUUUCUAUUGAUGUUUUGGGGGUAUUUGGUUUGUUAAUUUUUGGAUUUUUAAUGAUUUUCAUGCUGUAAAUUUGAUAAUACUUGAUCAAAUUAACUAACAAAAGUUAAUAUAUAAACUCAAGAUUUGAUAACCAUGUAAACUUAAUAUAUGAAUGCUAACAAAAGUUAGAAAAAAUAAAGACAAGAAGCUCAAAUAGGAAAAUGUAUUAUUCUUUAGGGAAAUCAGAAAUGUUAUUUGCGUUCCAUUUUUUGUUAUUUAUACUCUCACCAUUUGUUUUAUCACAUAGUCUAAUAAAUAAAAAUUUUAUGAUUAAAACGAUAAUAAAAGUGUGAUUAACAAAAUUGGAAGGACAAAUAACAUUUUCGUGUUCUUUAUUAUCUUUAUCUCAUCAGGUACAUCUCUUCAAUACAAUUAUAUACAAAUGAGGUUUCAAUGGUCUCUGUUAAUGGGGAAGUUUAUAUCCUUUGAAGUGUUAUGAAUUUAUUGAUGAAUCAUUAGUGGAGAUGAAUGUAUUAAUUAAUUUAUUUAGAGGGAUGAAUGUGUACAUCCGUAUUCCAUUAAUUUCAUAACAUUACACUAAAUAGACUCAAAAAAAAAAAUUCUUGCUUUUAUCAUGCAUCUUCCUUUAAUUGAUAAAUUAAAGCGAAUUUUUCAAUUUAAAAAUGUUUAAAUAAAAAAAUCUUCUAGCAUUGUUAUAAAAACAAUAAAAAAAAAAACACUUGCUUUUAUUAUUUCUUGUAUAAGAAAUUGCACAUAUAACUUUUAUCAUGUAUCCUACAUGAAUUGGCAACCAAAUGCAAAGGCAUGACUUCAGUGUUGUAUCACAAAUUAUUACCAUUGAAAAUUCUCCUCUUGCUACAAAUAUUUCAAUUUUUUUGACUGGAGUGAAUUUCAAUCUCCCACUUACUUUCCAACGAGAAAGAAAUGAUUUCACUGUCUGACAGUGUAUAUAAAAUUAAUUCUUAGAUGGUUUUCGUUUAUUAUACCUCAAUCAGAAAGCAAAAGUAAGGGAAUUUCUUUCCCAUUAGGAAGCAGUAAAUAAGGAGGAGAUUGAAAUUCAUAUUGUAUAAGAUGAACUCUUAACUUUUAAGUUUUAUGUACCUUAACAUCUUAAAUUUUCUGUAUUCCCUUUAACUGAAAAUGUAUCAAUCAUUUGUCUUUCACAGGUAACUGUGAUUAGAGUUCAAUAUCUCUUGCCACAUUUUCUUGUUCCUUUAUCCAUUCUCUAUUCUGGUUUGGGCAUUGGCUUUUAUGGAUGGAAAGAACAAUUGCAAUUUGACAUUAUUAUUAUUCUUUCUAAGCUUUGGUCCAAAUUAUCUUACAGCUUUCCGUGAAGUAAAUUUUCACCUCAUCAUUAUAUCCAACAAAGAAGUGGUCACCAACCACCAAGUAAUAGAUAGUUUGAGGAUUCAUUUUACCGGUGCUGUUUUCAUCAAACACUUAAAGUUUAUGGUGACAAUCAAGUGCAAUUAGGUUAAUAAGAUGCUUUACUUGUAAUCAUAUAUAUAAACAACUGAUCACGGAUUCGAAUCAUCCUUAUUAUGAAUAAGAUUCUAAAAUAAUAAUAAUAAUAACCAAGUUUAUGAAGAAGGUUGUCGUUCGCAUCAGUGAUGGAUUAUUCAUGGAUGCUCUUGCUAGAAACUAUGGGAAGAAGGCAUUCUACUUUUACACAAAACAGAAAGAGCAGUGAAAAUAAUCAAAUGUGAUUACCAAGAGGGGAAGGCCUGAAACCUUACCUCAAUAAUUACAUAAAAGAUCAAGUCCUAAUGUGAGUGCAUCACACUUUAUCUAAUCUAAAACAACAUUGGCUAAUGCAAAAAAAAAAGCUUACCAUAGAAAUAAUGAUUACAAGUUGAGAAACAUCCUACAUUAGACAUAAUAUCCGCGGACUGACUACAUUGAAUUGAGUAAACAAGAAACUAAUACCCUCUACCUUUCUAGCAGCUGAACCUAUGUUGAACAAGUGAAAGGUUUGCUUUUCCUGUCCAGACUAUUCCGAAGGGCUCUGAGAACCAUUCUCAACAGUCAACAUAAACAUCAACCAGGUUAUGAGAGAUUAAUUUAAGGCCUUCCAUAUGCUGGUCUGCAGCAUUUGCUCUCGAAGCGCCACCAUCGUUCACUUGCAAAAGGGAGCUUGAAGAAGGAAACAGGAUGUAGACAGAACAUUUGGAGGACCAGGAUGAUGAAGCUUAGUCCCUAAACCUGCAGCAAGCAAUUCAUCUUCUAUGAACAAAAGCAAAGCCAGGAGAGCUUUUAUGUAGAAAGGGAACAACUUCUGCAAGGAAAGAAACCUUCAAAACUAUCAUUUUCAUCUCCAAAGUCGAGGCACUGACAAGUCUGACCUAUAUCCAGAAGACACUGAGCAACCGAGCAUAUACGAAAAUGCCAUCGUAAGGUGGUCAAUGAAGACCUUUUAAGUUAGCAACGGAAUUGACAAAGCAGUAAGCUCAUUCAUGAAAUACUAAAUAGAUUAUCACUGCUCACUAGCACAACACACUAGUGAAUUAUAGAAGAAACAAGCAGCAAACAGCAACGGCUUUAGUUAAUGAAAGAAAAAAUCAACAGCAACCAGCACAAGGAAAUAGCAGAGAAAAGCACCAGGAAAAUAAUUGAGGAUUGUGCUCAAGUCCGUAGCUCAAAAAAAUUCUAGCUUUGGUGAAUAGUAGAUUAUAGGCCAUUCAGAUUGUCUUUAAGUGGGUAACUAGCUAUUGCAUGGAAGAAGAGAGCACCAUUUGAAUUUCUGUUUCUCCUCUUUAGAACCCUAAAACGCAACACAAACAAGAGUAUGGGAACUAGGUGGUCACUAACUUGGUGCAAAAUACCCACAGCAUUCCAAUUUCAGAGGUCAAUCUUUUCUCCAUAACAAUGAAUAGAAUAGUUUGCCAUUUGUGAAAUGAUAGGAACCUGUAAAAUAAAGUAGAUAAGCCUUAGAACUUAAUACAUCAUAUUACAACUAGACCUCACCUCUGGACUUUCAUUCUUGCACUUAGAUGUCGUUUCGCAGUUAGAAGCCAAGACAGUGGGAACCAAGAAGGAUUCUCUCGUAGACACUUUUGAGCAAUCAUUUGAAAGUUUAAGCCAGGAAGAAGCACCAUUUAUCGACCUUGCAGUGCCAACUGUUCCCAAAGGGAGUCUAUCUCUCAUAUUUCUGUUCCGAAUCUCAGCAAACCAUUCAGCCAAUGGCAUCUCUUCGACACAUUCAUAGUUGCUAUCUGAUUUCUCCAGUCCCCUUGGGAUUAUGCAUUCUUCUGUUGAAUUUUCAGAAUUCUCCUCAUACAUAGUCUUGCAACCUUCAUCCAUGGUGCCACUUUUAUCAGUGACCUCUUUCCUUUCUGUUGGAGAAUCUAUCACAUGCUGAGAUGCCUCAUCAUUGCAACUUGACUUACUAUUCCUGAAAUUGUAAAGAAGAAAAGUCCUGUUAUUGUUUUGAGACGCCCAUUAUAUUUCCCAAAACAAAGUGAGUACCAUUUAAACCACCUAUUACCUAAUGAACAAAAUUCAGAGAUGGGAGGCAAAUUAUGUUCUCAAAGUCAUUAGGAAGCUUAUAUAUAUCAGUCCAACCAAAAUUUUUUUACUUCAUGCACUUUGGUAACAGUUAAGAUGAGCAUAACAAUGCUAAACCCUAAUUUUCACUCUUCUCCUUUUUGUUCUUUAAUCAUGCCUACUUUUGCAACUCUCCUCAGUUUCAAAAAAUGCCACAUAUUUAUAUAUAAAUAUUAGUCCCCUAAACCUAAUCAUGCCUAAUUUUGCAACUCUCCUCAGUUUCAAAAAAUGCCACAUAUUUAUACAUGUAUAUUAGUCCCCAAAACCUAAGUACCUACGUAGCAUAUGAAACUCAAAUCUGCAACACUAAAAAGACUGUCCUUGAGGAAGUCAUGGUUUAACAUAAAUAUCUCAGUGUUCACCUGUGAAAACAAAUAAAUAAUCAAAACUGCUACCACUUAUAUUAUGAAAUCAAGAAUCCAUAACUUUAAGGGCAGAAACCAUAAAAAUGGAUCCAGAAGACAGAAAUAUAAUUGUCCCCACACUUUCUUUCACACCCAGGGUAUCAUUUAGUCCGAGUACAAAGAAAAAAAAUGAGGAAUGCUCUUAACCAGGCAGUCCCAGCUAGACACUUGGGGUGGUUUUACCAACUCACCACCCACUAAAUUGAUCUAUGACCCCAAAGUAAGUGACAUGCUCUACAGCAAAAAUUCCCAGUACCAACAACCAAGUUAAUUCACUUCUAAGAGAUUGAAUUAUUCUUGUAAAUAUGAAGCAUCCAACAUAAGUAAGCACCCGGCUGCAAAAGAAUAGAGCCAAAGAAAGCAUAAGAUGACCUUAGAAAAGACAAAAUUUAAAGCGCCUAUUUCUGCCUUUUCUUUAAUUCUUUUUUUUUUUUUGGGUAGAACCAUAAAAUAUGCUACUCAGCUGAAGAGCCAAAAUCUAUUACCAAAUGAUGUCAACAGGAAAACUAUUCUUUUCAUUUGGAACUAAAAGUAGUUGGAUGUCUCACAACUUACUCAUGCACGAUUUGACUUUCAACAGAGGAAAGCAGAGGACUAGAACUCCCUUUCUCACCAUGCUCCGGAAAGCUUGUCACCUGCAAUGACAAAAAGUAUUGGAACGUACUUGAGGUACUAAAUUCUAUGAGGUUUUAAACGUCAACAGAAAUUUUGUGAUUACUACAAGGGAAAGACAGUUGUGGAAAUAGUUCUCAGAUUUAAUGGAUCCUAACCAAGAUGACUCAGGGAACAUGGUAUAAAGAGCACAAGACAGUUUUACAAAGGCAAUCUCAUCCCACUCUGCCAGAACUUAGAUUCAUUGGCAGCAUACAGCUAUAAAUUACAGAACUUUUUCCAAUAGAUUCAUUGGCAACCCACAGCUAUAAAUUACAGAGCUUUUCCAAUUGUUUAUCCUUUCAAAUAUAUUCCAACCCAUGUGGUUUAGAGAACAAGCUUCUCAUAUUAGGCUCACAAGAUGGAUCAUGCAUAUACUAACAGCUUUGUGUUAACAAGUCAAAUACCACAUAUAAAAAGUGUAUAUAUUUCAUCUCACAAAUUUAAUCAGUUAAAUGUACAGAAAGUAAGAAUUGUACCAAUAAAUGUGUGUGUGCCUCUGUGUGUGUGUGAGAGAGAGAGAGAGAGAGUCAUUGUAGCACAGGUAAUUAAUGGAAAGAAACCAACAAAGAGCAUUUAGACUAUUUUUAAAAAAUCGAUUUACAAUGAUGCCAUAACAUGCAUAAGAAUUGGUUGAAAUUGCCCUUUAAGCAGUUUAUUUUUUAGUAUGCAAAAGACUGAUAAAUAGAAACUGGAUGCAUCAUCUUAUUUACACCGUUCUAUGUUCUCUCACUUCCUCUAUUUCAAUCAUUUUCGUCUUCUCUAUCUCUUUUAGAAAAUACCUAAGGUAUACUCCAAAUCCCAAAUUGGCUGUUGUCACAAAUCAAUCCUGGUAAGAUUUCAUGCAGGAAAAACUUCAUCUCUGGCAUAAAAAGGUUGAAUAUCUGGAACUUUUAGUUCUAAAAAUCAAAGUCCAGGCUCACAAAAGAUUAUUAUUCAGUAAAAACUAGUAUGUCAGAUUUUCAUGCAUGAUCACCAUCGAUAUCUAUCUAUACAAUAUAUAAAGUCAGAGGGAUAGCAGUUGGUGUAAUUUUUUUUUUUUUGGUCAUUUUUUGAACUUCCAAUUUUAUCCUUAUAGAAACUAAUUUUUACCUUAAUUAACUAAUUACAUUUUGCCAAAAUAACUACUCAUAACCACCCUAAGUAUUGUAAUUACCAAUUACUAUAACCUUAUAAAUCAAAGUUCUUUAAUAAAUUCAUAUAAAUUGUAUUUAUGUGAAAUACAAAAUUUAUAUAAUAUUAAUUCAUUUUAAUUAUUUUUAAAUUGAACACACAUUGACUGUGCCCCUAAAAAUAGCUUUUUUAAAGUAUAUACAUUUAGAAAGUUAUAUAGAUCAGAUUACUCUGCAGAGUAUCAAAUCAGAUCAUAAAUAAAUACCAUAUCACAAGCUUAGCCCCUGUUUCUCAAAAUGAAAGUUUUAAUACUUAAAAAGCGGUGUUGAAUACUCAUCUCAAAGUUUUAAUUACGAAAAAAGGAUAAACUAGUAUACAUUAGUGUAGAAAAAGAGUAACACCUGUAUGCCAUUCCUACCUUCCACUCAGUUGGGCACAAUAUGACUUGCCAAUGCAAACAAGACUACCAAAUAGUCAGGUAGUUUACAGAACCUAGAAUGAACGAAUAACUAAAGAGUUAAAGCUUAUUAAACAUAGAAAGAAUGCAGGUAGAUAGAUCCUUGUUUUCUUACACUUUCUGCAUAAAAAGAGUAUGAGUUAGUCUUUGGUUUAACUUAUCAGAUUCUACACACUCCAUGGGGCAGCCAUCUGGAUAAAUGGGAAACAAAAAGAAGGGAAGCUUACCCAUUUACUUAUCAGACAACACCAUCCGAUGUUUACGGCCAAAUGAAUGACAAAGAACAGUUAUGAAAGUUAAAAAGGGAAACCGAAUACCCCUGCGCUGAUGAUAUCACAAUAACAAUUUAACUACAUAAAACUCAAAGGAAUAGAGAAGCAUACACGUGGAAAUUGAUUCAUUAUACCAGGCAACUUCCAAUCUUUGAUAUCAGUAACUCAAGCUUGAAGGAUCCAUAAAUCUUCUUCUUUCAAUGAGUCAAUAAACUUUCUAAAGCAUUUGCUCCCAUAAUCAGUACCAAUAUAAAACAACAUAUUAACAAGUAACUUGAUCUUAGAAGUUAAAACAGUACAAACUUCUAGAAUGUCAUCUAUUUACCUCCAUAAUAAGUGUUAAAAGGUAAAAUUAUACAAAUUACAAAUGAUUCCACACAAAAGGCAGCACAAGUCUAGCAAAAAAGACAUGUAUACUCCCUCAUGAUGGAUCUCAUGUCUGGUAAUUUGCCCAUACACCUAUGGUAUUUGGGACCUUGCACAGUAGGGGCACAAAGAUAGAUCCCCUAGAUAACAUCAGGGCAAUAACAUAGAUCCAAGAUCUAAAAGCUGGGCACUUACAAUCCAGGUCGACAACCAAAGUCAAUAGCGAAAUAAAAGUAGCAAUAGAAAUUUUCUACUUAACCAUUCUACAUAUGUUCAUCUCUUAUCCUUCCAGAUAUAAUACAACAUUGAAAAAUUGAACACGAAAAAAGAGUUGUGAAGCAAGAAGAUACAGAUUCACUUGCAAUGUUCCAAUUAUCUUUCCCAAGGUGCAAUUCUCUGGCUCAAUGUCAGUGUGAGUAAACUAUAUACCUUGUUGAGCUAGUUUUUUCUUCUCAGAGUGAAAAAGAAGAGCAUAUUAAAAAUUUGGAUGAUCACAACUGACUGGAAAGCAGUUUUUGAGCAACAUUUAGUUAUGGAAUCGUAAUCACAAGAAACAAGUCAUGCAUGCAUCCUUUGACUGCCUCUAUUCAGACAUUUCUAUCCCUAUUCAAGAAAAUGCCAUAAAAGAAGACAAUCAUAGAGUUGGAUGAUGAUUACAGAGUUCAAGAAAAAUCAAAAGAAUCCCAUUAGGAACAGCAGAAAUUAUAAAACUUGACAAAGAGGUGAAAUUUUUAUUCAGGGUUUGUUUGAAACAAUUAAAAAGGUACUUGUUGCUGAAUUUAAAGAUAAAAUUAUCAAAAUAAACAGAACAUUUUGUUUCUACUUUUCAGAGAUCUAAUGAACAACAGCACAAAGAACAAGGCAGGAUGGCAACAGCAAAUAAGGCAAAGCAUAAUACAGGAAACUAACUAUUUAAUUCUCCGUCAGUAUAUACUUCUUCCAAAAGAAAAAAAAUGUUCCUUUUCCUAGUAUGAAAUUAUUGAUUUACCAAAAGUUUUCACCAUUACCAUUUCUUCCUUGCCAGCAAAGCUGGGAACGCUUGCACUAUGAUAACUUGUUUCAGACGUCACUUUCGAAUCCUCAGCCUUGGCAAACUCUGCAUGGGAAGUGGUUAGAGUGGACUCUGGUAUCGAAAUUGUCAACUCCAAAGAAGGUUCAGUAGAAGCCUCUUUUACUACGUUAUAGUUUGGGAGGUUGAGCUGUGCAGAAGGACCAUACAUUACUCUUGCGGCUUUAUCAUAUGCCAGGGCAGCUUCAAUUGCAGUACCAAAUGUACCCAACCAAAGUCGACUACCCUUUUUGGGUUCCCGUAUUUCAGCAACCCAUUUACCCCAUGUCCUCUGCCUGACACCUCUAUAAUUAUGACGAGAGUUCUCAGGACCUCCUUUACCUUUCAUACAUCCCUUUUUUGACCCUCUCCCUGGAGCUUUACGCACCAGCUUACCAUUGGUAGAUUCAAUUUUAUCAAAGUACUCUUUCCACUUGUUAAGAGUCUCAGACACAUGUUUUGAUGCAUCACUCCGGCGCUUGGAAUUCUUUCUUCCAAAAGGGCCCAGCGUCAAAGAAGUCUCAUCAGAAGCUGGUUUAAGUGGACUCAUUCUUUUUUAUCAUGACAAAGAAGAGUUCCACUAUAACUCACUGUGAAAAGUAAAAGGUGAGAUCUCAAAUUCUCUCAUUUUUGACAAGAUUAACAUGCAGAAACAAAUACACGCACAUACAUAAAUAAAUAUACACAUACUAUACAUAAGAACAAAGCUUCGGCUGAUUACUUUGCAUAAUUCCAUGUAUCCAAAAAGAAGAUCUAUAAGAAAACUUUACAACUCCUCACAGGUCAUCAAACUGCUAUGCAUGGCAAAACCAUGGUCGAAUGGAAAUAAAACCUUCAAGUAAACUGGCCGCUGACUAAUAAUCACUAACACCAACUAUUUUCUGAUAAUUAUCAUCAAAUUUCCAAAACUAUUAGUUCAGGUUGUGAUCACCAAGCUUCUUAUCCCUUCAAACUAAAUAAAACAGUUAAUCGGUAAUUUGCAAGUUAGUUAGCUAAACAAACACGGCUACUAGUUUCUUUUAUACAAGUAUUCUCUCAAACAGUCCAAGAUGCGUUUAUUUCAGCACAAAUUCUCCAUAUCUAGUACCUCUUUUGAAUCCUUCCAAUUUCUUGUAAUCCAUCCCCUUACAAAGAUUUUCUUUCAAGGAGUACAUAUGUUUACCCACAGUUAAACCAAUUCUUCUUAUCCUUCCCCAUUCAUUAGAUUUUUUGUCCAAAUAUGAAAAAAAAAAGUCUUUUCCAAUUGAUUAAGUAAAAAAAGGAAAAAACAAAAGUUGAAUCUGAAUAUCAAUACAUAAACAUUGAACUAACAAUUAUAAUUCCUAAUUGUGCUGAUAUCAAAGCAGAAUACUAAAGUAAGCACUACAACCAAAAUAAGCAGACCCCAGAAAUAAAGGAAACGCAAGAACAAAACCAAAUUAAUACUAGUCUCUCGUUUAAAUUCAAAGUUAACAAAAACCCAUCUCAUAAGCUGCAAGAAACAUAAAAUUAACUGCAUGCAAACAAAACCCACAACCCAGAAAUAAAUAUUUACACUUUAAUUAACUUGUUCUAUCAUAAGCAGUUAUACAAAACCGACAAGAAUUUGAGGGAAAAUAAUUAAAGCAUCCUUUUUUGCAUCAUGAAAACAAAAGAAUUCAUGCUGGGGUUUAACUGAAUUUACCUCUGAGAAUUAUUGAAUGAGAGCAAAAAUUCUAUUUUUUUCCCCCUUAGCAAAUUCUCUCUUUCCCUGUUUUGGUGUGUGUUUCUGGGGGAGAGAGAACGUGUGUUUAUGUGUGUGAAUGUGACAAUUGUUUUCUUCGGUUAAAGUGGCUCUGGACGAGGGAAAUUUGCAGUUGUUAGUCCUUCUUGUUUUCGAUUAGUUUCGGUUUAGUCCCUCAUUUUCCUAGUUUGGCGCAUUCAGUCGUUCAAGUUUUGGAUAAUUAUUGAUAUAAUUUUUAAGGGGUCAGCGUCAAAUACUUAUUCUAAUAUGCGGAACAAUAAUUACUAACAAAUAAGUUAUGUUUGAUUUUUAAAAUUUUUUAUUCAUGAAUUUUGCACUAAUGAAGUUUUUUUUUAGAAUAUUUUAUAGUACACAAAAAGUUUAAAUAGUUUUAUAACAGUGUUGAAAUUAGGACAUGAAUGAAGUUAUAAGUACAAUUGAAUCCAUAUUCGUAUAAAUCAAGUAUUCUAAUUAUUAUUGGAAAAAUGAAAUAGAUUUGAUAAUAUUAAGCUUAAAAAUUGAGAACCUUUCACUCACUAACUGAAAGUACUUGAUGAUUUAAAAAAAGUUAUUUCUUUUAAUCCCUUAUUCUAAGUUAAUUUUAUCUAAUAGUUAGAAAUAAUUGAGCAAAUAUCACUACAUAUUAUGCCAUAAUUGAUUUACUCGCCAAAAUUUGAACCCAUGGACGAGAGAAUCCAACUUAAUCCAAGUGCAUGGCUAAACUUUUCAUGGAGUGACAAAUCAACAUUGGAUUAAUCUAUUCAUAAUUUUUUUUCUAAGUGAAAAUGCAAUAACUUGAACUACCCUUUGGAUACUAACAUUACUUUAGCUUUUUAUAUUUUAGCUAAGUACAUUUUACUCUUAUAUGUAUAUUGUAUUUAUCUCAUCUUUUGUUUCUCACAUUUAAAUUUUCGUAAAUAUUCUCUCAAAUGUUAUGUCGCUAGAUAUUUCAAUAUAUUCCUAUAAAUAAAGCAAUCUUGUAAAAAUAAGGAACUAAUUGUGCUAAAAUUCAACUACAAAGGUGCAAAAUUCUACACCACCAAAACAUAAGCAGCUACAAUUUUCUAACACUGAAAUACAGGGGGCUAAAUCCUUUUAAAGUGAAAUAGAGAGGACAAAACAAAACUAGCAGUAAAUAUCAGGGACCAUCAUUAAAAUUGGUCUUGGUCGAGUACCCCACCUACUCAUCAGAAAGUCGGUGGAUAGCGGUGGUUUUUUUUUGGAGGGUAAAGCUCACUGCUGUUUUAAAUUCGUCAUCUUCAAUGCACUAUUCCAACUUGCCAACUAUAUCACAUUUUCCUGGAAAAUAAAAAAAUAAAUAUGCCACACAAAAAUUGUAUAAAUAUAGAAAAUAAAAGAGCACCACCAAUUCAUAAUCAUUUUUGAACAUUACAAAGAGAAUUUUAUUCAUAAAUUCACUCUGCAAAUAUUUUGCAUCAAAUUUUCCAUAAGUUUCAAUGAAUAUUGACUUAUAUUACACGUCCAAAAUUUUUGUCUAACGAGUCUUCUUGAGAAAACAUAAACUAGCAUAUCAUACAUUUCAGAUGAGAAAUAUAAGCAUAGCGUUCAAAGAAAUAUUAAUCGCACCUCGCUUUUUGUAAAUCACAUUCUUAUCAUUUAUUUUAUUGUAUAUUUAAUACAUGAAAACCAUAUGAUAAAAAUAAUAUUGUGAAUGCGAUUAACAAAAAGUAGAGUGCGAUUAAUAUUUUUUAAUAAUUUAUUACUAUGACUUAUAAAAAUAGUUACAGAAAAUAGGGGAAUCUUGCGGAUUUGUAAAAAGUUCUGAAUACUUCAUCGGUACGUGAUAUAUAUACAAUAUCAAGGAUGAUAAUACCGAGGUGAUCAAUUGAUUAUGGCCACAUUAUGAGACAUGGUUGCAAUCACAAUCUUUUAUUUUAAUGUAUACAUAUAAGUUGGGUAAUAAAAUUUUUCACAUAGAAAUGAUGUGACAUAAAGUGUAAUAUGCCUAUAUGGAUAAGGUAAUUUAUCUAGCUACUCAUUAAUUUGAAGAAGGGAAACAAGAAAAUUACAAAAAUCAAAAGAAUCAAGUCUAGAGCCAAAACAUGAGAAAUGUCAUCAUUACACCCAUGGAGUCUUGCUUCAACGGCUUUGAUUAGUCUUGAUUUCACCAUACAUCUUCACAGGGCAUACAAAAAUGACAUCCAAGACCUGUCUUGAUGCCAAAACACAAGGCAGAGAGCAGCAAUGAAGAGAAAAAGGAACUAAAAUUGGACCUAUCAGAUUGUGACAAUGCUUCCAGCAGACUAUUGUAGCUGAUUGUUUCAAUAUCUAGCUCUUCUUUGCUUUGUUGGUUGACCAUGUAGGAUGCCUAAUAACGAACGGCAAACUAGUUGCUGAUUCAUUACAGCCACCUAUAUCCACAGCAUAUAGUAUUUCAUUUCUCCCCAUGUAUUAAACAACUUACUGACAUAAGAAGUUCUGGAACCAGACUGUUGAAAGUCUGACCAAAAGCCUAUUCAAGUGUUUGUGACGAAGUACAAAAAUUGACAUACUUGACUAAACUAGAAGAUGCCCAGAGGAGAUAGAAAAUCUCAAAGGUUCUAUUCAACAGGGAAGUGAAGGUAAGUGAGUAAUCUCAAUGUACCAAACACAACAUAAAACUAAAUUUUCUGACUUCAGAUUUUACGCGUGAAAGUAGAAGCAAUGUGUAGAGCAUAUCUGCUUGCGAAAUAUCUGUACAUCUCUCGAGCAUUUGAAGGAAUGCUUUUGGCGCUAGUUCCUGCUGAAUUGAGUUCUAGGGGUGGACCAUGGUGUGUUGUCAUCUGCUUCUUCACCAAUGCUCAUUAUGUCUUCAAGUAUUCCCCCUGGAAGAACAGAUUGAAUCCUAACUGUUGGUUUCCUUGGUGGCAAAGAAGGGAUUGGAGCUUCCCCUUGAAGCAUCCUUGCAGCUUCCCUCAUGGUAGGCCUCUUCUGAUGAUCAGGGUGCGUGCAGCAAAGUCCAACCAUGAGCAUCCUUCCCAUUACUUUCCUGUUAAAGCACCUCUUCAGUUUAGGAUCAGCAGCCUCAAUUAAUUUUCCUUUCCCCCACAAUUCCCAAACCCAAUCAGUAAUCACAAUUCUGUUGUCCUCGACUGGCCUCCUACCUGAUGCGACUUCCAGUACCACGACACCAAAGCUGUAGACAUCACUUUUCACUGUUGGAACUCCGGAAAAGACAUACUCGGGAGCAAGAUAUCCCAUUGUUCCAGCUGGUACAGUAGCAUCUCGCAUUUCGAGACUGCGUUGAUACACCGCUGCUAAACCAAAAUCUCCAAGCUUGGCAUUGAACUCAGCAUCAAGCAUUAUAUUACAGGCCUUAACAUCCCUGUGGAUUAUCUGAUUAAUGCACUCUUCAUGCAGAUAUACCAGAGCAGAGGCCACACCAAGUACUAUGUUUGAUCUUCGCUCCCAUGUGAGGAACUUUGUAACACUGCUCCGGCCAUGCAGGAUCUUAUCCAGACUUCCAUUAGGCAUGUACUCAUAAGCCAGGACUAACUCAUUCCUCUCGCAGCACCAUCCCUUGAGCUGAACUAAGUUCUUGUGUCUCAAGCAGCCAAUCAUUGUAGCAAAUUCAUUGUCAAAAGGAAUACGCCAGGCCUCAUCAAAUGAAUUGUGUGAAGGGCCUAUGCUUUUUCCAUGAGUAAAUCUCUUAAUUGCUACAUUUCCACAGGAAGGAAUUUGUCCUUCAUAUACAACUGCUGAGGCACCUUCACCAAUAAUUCUGUCCUCGUUGAACCCCUUUGUAGCUUCCUUUAUCUCUCUCAGUGACAAGUAUUUUGGUACUUUAUAGCUCUGAAAUCUGCCAACAUGAUAUUCAAUGUGCCGCUCUCUCUUGGCUUUGCUUCUAUUCCUCUUUAUGCAACAUAAAAUAACAAACAGAGCAACUGCAACUAGAAUUACUGUGAUUACAGCUGAACCUCCUAUGACAAGAAUCAAUCCAAAUUUCCAUUUUCUUGAACGAUCAAAAUUUAGGUCAAGAUCCCCUGGAAAGCACGCCAGACAAUCCCCUUCUUCAACUGUAUCCAUAGACAAUGUUGAAGAUUGAAACCAGAAAGUCUUAAAUCGCCAACGACUAAUACUAUGAAUAGCUGAUCCUCCACCAUUAGAAGCAGUAAAUCCCACAUGCAUAAAUUCUUUAAAAUCGCCAGUAAAAUCAGCCUGAGCAACAAGAAUAGGACUAAGUGGCCUAACCUGAGAAUAUCCCACCCAUACCCUGAUCAUCUUCUCCGAAUUUCGAUACUCAAUCCAAGCAGUCAUCUCCUUUCCAGCUUUAAGAUCAAUCCCUCUUGAGACGACGUCAACAGAAGCCAAAGAUUUAAUUUGUCUCACAUCAACGCCAACAUGGUUCCCAUUGAUAUCAUCAAAAAAGGGAUUAUAACUCGUGUCAAAUUCUACAGCAAUGAAUGAAUCUUGAAUGUUGGAAACUUCUUCCGGGAGGCCCAUCCAACCGUCGGUAAUGCUUAAAGAAUCCAUAUUGGAAGUGACCAGAAAUGCAAGUCCAUCUCCAAAAGGGCAAGAAGGGGUGGGGGAAAUGUUGAAUGAAAAGCUGCAAGAGAAUGAAGCAGCAGUGCCUUUGGAUGAAGAAUCAAGAAACCGAAUUGGGUUGAUGUAAAAGGCUCUGCCAAUGCCUGAAAGAGAGGUGGAAGAAGCUGAUUCUAGGGUGGAUUGUGAUGGCAAAGUGCAUUCGUGAUCUUGAGUUAGUCUGAUUGAAUCGUUCUCAACGGAUGCAUCCCCAAAAAGGGUGACAUUGUUUGCAGGAAAAUAAAGUGGAGCUGAGGAAGACAAAGAUGAUGAAGUGUAGGCAUAGAGAAAAAGAAGAUAAGCCCGGAUGAGUAUGGUUGAAGAUGAACGCAUUCUGGGAAUUUGGAGCUCAAGAUUCAAACUUUGAUCAAGAAAUGGAAAGUUGAGAGUUCUCGGAGGAAGUUUUCUCAAGGAUUUUCAUGGGUUGAUUUUGAUCUUGGGAGCUCAUGAGAAAUGACAGAUUGGGUGAUUUUUCUCCAAUUUACAACCAGGGAUUUUGGAGAACGUUGCCAAGAAUCAAGAAAGUGAAAAACCCCGUUGAUAACUGCAGAAAAAACGAAGAAAAAUGAGGAGGGGAGGAGGGGAGAAGGGGUUGAAUCUUGCAAAUUGAAACGUGGAGUGGAAAAAUAUGGCGGGGAAAUCAGUUGUAGGCUUUGGAGUAACCGGAAUGUUAGGGAGCGCAAAGAUUUGGUGUCAGAGGGACUUGGGCUUGUCUUGUGGGCUUUUUCUGUGUCGUUUUUCUUUUUUCGUUUUUGUCCAUCUGCCUGGUUUCACCUAGUAGUAGCAACCUUCUAUUGCUAUUAACAGGCCUCAUUUUUCUGGGUUAAGAAAAAAAAUUUCCAUUUUUUAUUUGUUUUAGGGGGUGCUUCGUUAGUGCUGUCUAUUUUUUUUUUAAGGUAAAAAAAAAGUUAGUAGGUUUGACUCCAAUCACCAGUAAUAAAAAGAGUUUUCUACUUAAAUUGGACUUUACUUUUUUAUUGAAAUUUAUAAUUAGAAUAUGCUUCUAGAACUAUGGGUCACCUAUGGAGAUUCUUACAAAUCGCCUAUCAAUACAGCUCUCACUUCUUGUAAAGCUCUCACUUCUUGUAAAGAAGUAACCCGUCCUUAUCAAUUGAGUCAACUUAUGUUGGCGAUAACAAAAGAUUAAUUCAAUUAAAAUCUGAAAGAAUCGUAUGCUUCGUUUAGACUUUUUCUUAGGUAAAUGUAACAGGUUUGCUCAGCACCAAGAAGGUUUCCCCUUCAAUGGAUUUGCUGUUUUUUUGCAGUAAUAACCACAUGAAAAGCAAUAAAAAGAACCCCUUUCAAUGGUUCUCUUAGCGAAUGAGCAAUGAUGAAACAAGCCACGUACAAAACUACAGACAUAGAAUUUACCCUGUUCAGGGGUGAUUCUCUGGUUCUGUGCAGGGUGCACAACUUCAUGCUUACUAAGUACGUCAAGAAGUAGGCAGUAGGUGUGAGCAGAAACCACAUUGCUUGAAGGAAAUCCAAUCCAAGGACAAGAUUAUUACAGAUUUUUCCAUACAUAAAGGAUGCGAGGACGAACACAUUUUUUUUUCCCUGAUAGAAGACAUAAUCAUUAACUCAAGAACAAUUAGAAUUCCGUCUUCCUGUCUCUCUAGUAGGCGUUCAGUUUGUACGAGCUGCUGUAAAUUAAGGGUCAUAUGGGGAAUUGUGAUGGAUACAACAAAUUGUUUGAAAUGCUUAUGACAAACAAAAGCUUAGUUUAAGAACAUUUUCAGGUGUCAAAAGACUUUCAGCGGAACUUCAUCAUCAUCCAAGAAAAGCAACCAAAUGAAUCCAAGAACUUCAGCAUUUGAGUUCAACAGAGGUAGCUGGAGUUUUAUAUUGGAGGAAACAACUGGGAUAACAAGAAU